UGCUAAGUGGAAAGAGUGGAAGGUGCUGAGCAGAGAAAAGGAAGAGGUUGGGAGCAGGAAGAGGAGACACGGGGCAGCCUGCAUGACAGUGACGGCCCUGUGUCUUGGAGAAACAUGCAGCUUCUCCCACCCUGUUCAGGCUCUCAGAACACCUGGAAUCAGACUCCUGAUCCCACCUUCCAGGACACAUCAUGGAAACUGAACCCAAAAAUCAACUGGCAGCUCCUCCUGAUACCUGAAACACAGACCCGUUGGCAGACAAGGAGUCAAAAUAUAUUCUUGAACCUACAUGUUCAUGUUGCUGGAGUUGCAGCUGGUACUGACUGGCUGGGAGGAAGCUCAUGCUAUUGAAGACCCAGCUGCUACUGAUGGAGAACGGUUGGCAGGGAUUUCACACUGAAAGAGGCUGCUAUGGAUAGGACUCAUAGCUGUAUGCUUCCUCAAGAGAUGAUGAGGUGGUGCUCCUAGAGAGAAUAAUGCAGCAGAAAAGAAACCACCUUAAAUGCUUAAGGGUUUACCAUUUAUCCAGCUCAGCAAGUUUUUUCUGCCUGCCUCCUUUGGCUUUGAG